rnacentral:rRNA from 1 species
AAAGGAAUUGACGGGGGCCCGCACAAGCGGUGGAGUAUGUGGUUUAAUUCGAUGCAACGCGAAGAACCUUACCCAGGCUUGACAUCCCGCGAACCUCGCUGAAAGGCGGGGGUGCCCUUCGGGGAGCGCGGAGACAGGUGGUGCAUGGCUGUCGUCAGCUCGUGUCGUGAGAUGUUGGAUUAAGUUCCGCAACGAGCGCAACCCUCGUCGUGUGUUGCCAGCAAUUCGGUUGGGCACUCACACGAGACUGCUGCAGCAAUGUGGAGGAAGGUGGGGAUGACGUCAAGUCAGCAUGCCCCGUACGCCUGGGGCUACACACAUACUACAAUGCACGGGGCAAACGGCGGCCAACCCGCGAGGGGGCGCUAAUCCGAGAAGACCGUGCUCAGUGCGGAUCGCAGGCUGCAACUCGCCUGCGUGAAGGUGGAAUCGCUAGUAACCGUCGGUCAGCAUUACGACGGUGAAUACGUUCCCGGGCCUUGUACACACCGCCCGU